AGUGAACGCUGGCGGCGUGCCUAAUACAUGCAAGUCGAACGGAGUGGCGCACGGGUGAGUAAUAUAUAGCUAAUCUGCCCCUUGCUGGAGGACAACAGUUAGAAAUGACUGCUAAUACUCCAUAGCAAGGGAUGAGACUAUAUCGUAUCAGCUAGUCGGUGGGGUAACGGCCUACCGAGGCUAUGACGCGUAACUGGUCUGAGAGGAUGUGCAGUAACAUUGGAACUGAGACACGGGUCAAACUCCUUGCGGAGGCAGCAGUAGGGAAUAUCGCGCAAUGGGGGUAUCCCUGAAGCAGCAACGGGGCGUGGAGGAUGACACUUUACGGAGCGUAAACUCCGUUUGUUAGGGAAACGGUACCCAACGAAUAAGCACCGGCUAACUCCGUGCCAGCAGCCGCGGUAAUUC
rnacentral:rRNA from 1 species